rnacentral:lncRNA from 1 species
UGGAUAGAACACAGGACUGGCUGCCCUCUGGAAGACCUCCAUUGGUCCUUGAUGGUUGGAUAAAGGAACUGGGUAGAAAGUCCUUCCCUGCCCUUUGCUUUGGAGAAGAUGAGGAUAGCGAGUUGGGUGUGCACCCCAGGUAAAGUCAGAAAGAUCCUGAGGCUGAAUUUUUAGUUGAAAGCACCCAGCAUGUCAAAUGUUACCUUUAGCAUGAUCCCUGGUGGACUGAUGAACAACAUGGGCCCCAGGCUUUGUGAGGAGCACUUAACACUACAGCAGAGAAAAGCUAAUGGCUGGGUGAGUGCUGAUCUUCCCAGGAUCUAGUCUUAAAGCCUAAAGAUUUCUCCAGACAGGAAGGCCCAGCUCUCAGCAUCCUGCCCCAAGGAGAUACCAUUGUAGGUGGCCCAUGAAGGCUCUGGGUGAUUCUUUUUUGGAUCGGCAGUUUCUUGAGUUAGUUAUUAUCCCUUGCAGUGUUGGAGAAUGAGGGACCUGUGGUUCUGAUAGAAGAUUCUAGAGAUGGGCACUCUUGACUGCAAAAUUACCCUGUGACCCCAGGCAGCAGAUAAAAAGAAUCUGAAAACUAAAUUCUCAAU